AGUAACUGGCAUUUGGUUAUGGGGUGGCUGUUUUUCUACGUGGACCAAGCAGGGUCCCAGUUCAAGUUUCUGCUGCCUAUCUGAUAAUCUUGAGGUAUUUAUGAAGGACUCCUUUGAAAGUUCUCUACUGAGUUUCCUUAAGGAAUUGGAAUAUUUUCUACAGGAAUUAGGAGUGUGACUUCAGGAAUGGCUUAUUCCAAGUUGUAAAACUAUCCCCUGUCGUGAAGAGUUUCUCUCUUGACACCUAGGCUGGAAUGCAAUGGCGCAAUCUCAGCUGACUGCAACCUCCACCUCCGAGGUUCAAGCAAUUCUCCUGCCUCAGCCUCCUGAGUAACUGGGAUUACAGGCGCCCGCCACCACACCUGGCUAAUUUUUGUAUUUUUAGUGGAGAUGGGGUUUCACCAAGUUGGCCAGGCUGGUCUCAAACUCCUGAGCUCAAGUGAUCCACCCGCCUAGGCUUCCCAAAGUGCUGGAACUAUAAGCGAGACCAAUUUGUUGAAUUGGACAGCUGGAAGCAAGGAAGGGAAAAAGUAUUUCACCGAAAAGGCAGAAGACUGGCAUCAAUUGCAAGCUGUGGAAUCAAGACAACUUUGGCUGAGUCCCAUUUUAUAUAGGACUAAAGGAGAGUGCAGUCCUCAAAGGCAAUAAUAUUUAUGAGAACAAAGAAGACUGUGGAGAAAUUUUAGGCAGUAGAAGAGAGCAGAAAGGCCAAGAGGAUCAGGGUU
rnacentral:lncRNA from 10 species